UGCGCUGCUUUGCCUCCAGCUGCUCCCAAAUUGUCCCGCCAUUAAGCGAUUACAGGUUUACAACCACAGCACUGAGACGACCUGAUGAUCUUCCUCUGUAAUGGAUCGUUAUCCCGGAUUCUUAUGCUGUCAUUCGAUGUGAUGCAAUUAGGCUGGACGUCAUAAGUGGGCUGUAAAGGAAGCAGGUAUUUUGUGCAUCCUGAGAACCUGAAUGUGCCAUUAUGAUGACAUGAGGUUAUAAUCUCUGAAAUAUUUCCUACGGUGAAUGUGCAACUCCACAGUAACGCGAUUUUAGGUGUGAAAUCUAUCUUGCUGCUGUGUCAGUAUGCUCAGCUCUGGAGCUACAGAGGAGUGUUUACUCGGAGGACGGAGGCAAGAACACAUUGAUCUUAUUUAGACAAGCUUUUGUCUGGGAUGCAUCCAAAACCAAACAGCCAGGGGAAGAAGCACCACAACAGGGCGAACGGACCAUAUUUGAAUGAGGACAGAGCAAGGAAAGACGUGAUCAAUGAGAAAACAAGGUCCAAGCGCGCGUACGCUGGUUUCGCCUCAUAGUUUAUGAUCGUUACGCCGUAAAACGAAGAUUCCAAUCCACUCGCUGCACUGCUUUUCCCACUUGUGUUCCGCUGGGUGCCAGAAUGUGGCUGCUGGAUUGACUGGAAUACGUCUCGUAUGGAAACGGAGACGGGCUCUCUGUGUGUGGCACAGACCUACACUUGGAUUCACUUGCGAGUUAAUAGCUCUCACUUGUGUGUAGUUGACGCCCUUUAGUGUCUCAUCUGGUGUGAGAUGAGAUGCCUGCUGCAUUAUAUCACACACAGACAGUGGAGGCAGAACCGAAUGAAAUGAUCUUGUCACCUAAAUCUGUUUUGUAUUCCCGUUACAACUUGAGCUGGACUUGAUUGAACUGGAGACGAUCUCAUCCCGUCCAGAGAAGCACGAGUUCAUAAUGUGAAAAAGAAACUCAUCAUCACCAUCCUUCUCAUCCAGCUAAUAAUGUGCCAUUGUGGGAGCUUGCCAUCAGUCUCUGACACACACUGCACAUGACUUUGUCUUCUUCCAGAGAAAAUAACGUCUUUUGUGUGAAGCCAAAGAAUCAUUGUGUCAUCUUAUGUGAAUGAUCUUAUCUGAUGCGUUCCCUAGGUUUCAGGCUUGGACAACUACAGGAUCCAAUCAGAAAGCGUCUUUGUUCAGACAGCGCAUGUCCUCCGAGCUCAGUGAGGAAUCAGUCCUGCUUGUCUUUCUGUAACUGCAGGUUCAGUCCACUUAAGGAGUGACUCACUGUGAGCACCAGAGAGAAAUUGGCAGUGCGACCGCACGAGGCGGAGCUAUUGAUUUUCUGCUUUGUGUUGUUGGCUGUGGUGUUUUCAGAUCUCCUCAGUUUGAUGCCAUAUUAUUUAGUUGUUUGUGCGUCUGCUCCCGAUGGAGACAAAGAAUGCAGUAUCAGCAACAGAUAGUGUGUCCUUACAGGGAUGCACUAUUAUUUAUUCUAUACUCUUUUGUAUUCUUACCUCUAAAAGGUUCAGUGUGUAACAUUGAGGAGGGUUUCAUGUCAAAACUCGAAUUAAUUAUUCAAACGUAUGUUUGUUUCAGUGAAUAAUCGCUUAAGAAGUAAGAAAAAACGUGGCUACGGUAGCUCAGUGGUAGAGCGAGGCGUCGUUCAACUCAAAGGUUGUGGGUUCGAUUUCUUGCUAGACAAGACUUGGGCUUUGCCGGCAGCGUGUACAUGAGUAUGAAAGGUGAGUGAAUGGCAAACCUUGUAGUGUA